rnacentral:lncRNA from 1 species
GGUGUUGCUGAGAUACAGUCACAUGUAAGGCUGAGGACCCAUGGUGACGUGUUCCAGUUUAUUGUCAUCUGCAAUACUGCUGUGAAAAACAUUAAUUUGGAAAGGCUGGAUCUCCAAAUUGAUGUAGCAGUAAUCACGUACAUCCCAAAUGGCCUGGAACCGGAUACACUGUGCCUGUUGCUAUCUGUUUCCUAGGAUUUUCUGUAAUCAAGAAAAUGUCAACAAGUACCCCGGAAGCCAUUAUUGUCCCAGAGCUCAAUUAGCAGAGGUUGGAGGAGAUGGAAGCAGGAGGUACUGCUGCAUUUUUCCCACCCAGAGUACAGCCAGUUGGCUUAGUGCUGUUAUAUGGAUUGGAUAUCAGCCCUUAAUCUUAUAAUCUUAUGACAAACUCCAAAGUCACUGAAGAGUCCAGACACCAAGGCAGGCUCACCUGUGGUGUGGCCAAGUACCACCACCAUGGACCAUCACCUGCUGCAGAGACAGCCCUCUCUUCUCCUCAGCAGAGCCAAGCACAUGACCUACAACUUGGGUUUUAUUCCAAGCUUCAAACCACUCUUCAAAAAAUCUCAAGCAUGAUCUGGGGAAUGCCUGCAUACAUUGUCCAAAUGCAAGACUGCCAUCUCCUGGGCAGCUGGGAAACUCAGUCUACAACAGCCCCUGAAAACCACCCUGGAAUAACUCAGAGGCCGUGUGACCAAGAAGGCACAGCCAUGGUGGGUAUAGCCCAAGGAAGAGAGACACAGCAUUGGGGUACUUCGGAAGCAAAUCUGGCCUGCUCUGUGUUUAACCCAUGCACUAAGCAGAGCAUGAGCAGUGUCUUUGGGCUCUCAACCAGAAAUUAGAGAGCCAGAUGGGCCAAGCAGGCUGCUUCCUGGGUGCUCAGCACUGCUGUAUCCCUGCCUGCCUCUUUGGAGCAGUUUCCUGCACACCUCUGACCUUCCUGAAGGGCGGAAAGACACCAGGCCGAGCUGGGUGGCCCUGCACCGUGGCUGGAGGGUGCUGGCAGGACAGAGGCACUGGACUGGCACUGGGUUCAGGGAACCGCAGCUCUUCUCCCACCCCUCCC